rnacentral:rRNA from 1 species
UACGGAGGGGGCUAGCGUUGUUCGGAAUUACUGGGCGUAAAGCGCGCGUAGGCGGCUUUGCAAGUCAGAGGUGAAAGCCCGGGGCUCAACCCCGGAAUUGCCUUUGAGACUGCAUCGCUAGAACGUCGGAGAGGUAAGUGGAAUUCCGAGUGUAGAGGUGAAAUUCGUAGAUAUUCGGAAGAACACCAGUGGCGAAGGCGACUUACUGGACGACUGUUGACGCUGAGGUGCGAAAGCGUGGGGAGCAAACAGGG